GAUGAGAUAGUUCAGCGGCAGAACGCCCGGCUCUACCCGGGUGGACGUAGGUUCGAAUCCUGCUCUCAUCA
rnacentral:tRNA from 1 species